AGCGAACGCUGGCGGCAGGCUUAACACAUGCAAGUCGAGCGGGCGUAGCAAUACGUCAGCGGCAGACGGGUGAGUAACGCGUGGGAACAUACCUUUUGGUUCGGAACAACACAGGGAAACUUGUGCUAAUACCGGAUAAGCCCUUACGGGGAAAGAUUUAUCGCCGAAAGAUUGGCCCGCGUCUGAUUAGCUAGUUGGUGAGGUAACGGCUCACCAAGGCGACGAUCAGUAGCNGGUCUGAGAGGAUGAUCAGCCACAUUGGGACUGAGACACGGCCCAAACUCCUACGGGAGGCAGCAGUGGGGAAUAUUGGACAAUGGGCGAAAGCCUGAUCCAGCCAUGCCGCGUGAGUGAUGAAGGCCCUAGGGUUGUAAAGCUCUUUUGUGCGGGAAGAUAAUGACGGUACCGCAAGAAUAACGCCCCGGCUAACUUCGUGCCAGCCGCCGCUGUAAG
rnacentral:rRNA from 1 species